rnacentral:misc_RNA from 1 species
AACCAUUCUCACCUGCGGCUAGACCUGCGGAAGGAUCAUUACAGAGUUGCAAAACUCCCUAAACCAUUGUGAACGUUACCUAAACCGUUGCUUCGGCGGGCGGCGCGCCCUCGCGCGCGCCCCUGGGCCCCACCGCGGGCGCCCGCCGGAGGUCACCAAACUCUUGAUAUUAAUUGGCCUCUCUGAGUCUUCUGUACUGAAUAAGUCAAAACUUUCAACAACGGAUCUCAGAUCGGAAGA